UAGGGAAUCUUCGGCAAUGGACGAAAGUCUGACCGAGCAACGCCGCGUGAGUGAAGAAGGUUUUCGGAUCGUAAAACUCUGUUGGUAGAGAAGAACGUUGGUGAGAGUGGAAAGCUCAUCAAGUGACGGUAACUACCCAGAAAGGGACGGCUAACUACGUGCCAGCAGCCGCGGUAAUACGUAGGUCCCCGAGCGUUGUCCGGAUUUAUUGGGCGUAAAGCGAGCGCAGGUGGUUUAUUAAGUCUGGUGUAAAAGGCAGUGGCUCAACCAUUGUAUGCAUUGGAAACUGGUAGACUUGAGUGCAGGAGAGGAGAGUGGAAUUCCAUGUGUAGCGGUGAAAUGCGUAGAUAUAUGGAGGAACACCGGUGGCGAAAGCGGCUCUCUGGCCUGUAACUGACACUGAGGCUCGAAAGCGUGGGGAGCAAACAGGAUUAG
rnacentral:rRNA from 1 species